rnacentral:rRNA from 1 species
AACGAACGCUGGCGGCGUGCUUAACACAUGCAAGUCGAACGAGAAAGCCUGGGCAACUGGGUGAGUAAAGUGGCGCACGGGUGAGUAACACGUGGGUAACCUACCCUUGAGUUCGGGAUAACACCACGAAAGCGGUGCUAAUACCGGAUAAUAUCCCUUUAGCCUUCGGGUUCGAGGAUCAAAGAUGGCCUCUGCUUGCAUGCUAUCGUUCAGGGAUGGGCCCGCGCACCAUUAGCUUGUUGGUAGGGUAACGGCCUACCAAGGCUACGAUGGUUAGCUGGUCUGAGAGGAUGGCCAGCCACACUGGAACUGAGACACGGUCCAGACACCUACGGGUGGCUG